AUAUCCUAAGUGUGGUACUAUAAUAAGGAAACCAGGAUCUGAUGAUGGGAUCCCAGAGAAAUCGAGGGAAACCCUCAAAAAUCCGCAUAACUUUUUACUGGGUGCAUCGAUUUUGAUGAUUUUUAAUUUAAUCGAAAGCCGAUGUUUAUCAUGUGUCACAUUUAAAUUUCAUCAAGAUCUGAUUACAACUUUUGGAGUAAUCUUUGAUAAUGCGUAUUUACUUGACUAUUUUUUCGUCUACCUACGUUGUAUUACUUGUCGAUAUAAUUGAAGUCGGUUUUUCUUCGUUUGCCUGCAAACACAAUUAUUAUUUG
rnacentral:misc_RNA from 1 species